UACGUAGGGUGCGAGCGUUGUCCGGAAUUAUUGGGCGUAAAGGGCUCGUAGGCGGUUUGUCGCGUCGGGAGUGAAAUCCACUGGCUUAACUGGUGGCUUGCCUUCGAUACGGGCAGACUGGAGGUAUGCAGGGGAGAACGGAAUUCCUGGUGUAGCGGUGAAAUGCGCAGAUAUCAGGAGGAACACCGGUGGCGAAGGUGGUUCUCUGGGCAUGUCCUGACGCUGAGGAGCGAAAGUGUGGGGAGCGAACAGG
rnacentral:rRNA from 1 species